rnacentral:ncRNA from 1 species
CGCGUGGGGGGGGGGACCCCCCCCCGCCGGUGUCCUGGCCGUCAGUGAAAUACCACUACUCUGAUCAUUUUUUCACUUACCUGGUGAGGCGGGGGGGUGAGCCCUGAGAGGGGAUCUCGCUUCUGGCACCAAGUGCCUGGCACAACCCACUCCUGGGAUGGCAGCAGGUGGGGAGUUUGACUGGGGUGAUACACUUGUCAAAGUGUAACACACUAAGGCCUAAGGCGAGCUCAGGGAGGGAGGAAACCUCCUGUGGAGCAGAAGGGCAGAAGCUCGCUUGAUCUUGAUUUUCAGUAUGAAUACUGGCUGUGAAAGCGGGGCCUCACGAUCCUUAUGACUUUUUGGGUUUUAAGCAGGAGGUGUCAGAAAAGUUACCACAGGGAUAACCGGCUUGUGGUGGCCAAGCGUUCAUAGCGACGUCACUUUUUGAUCCUUCAACGUCGGCUCUUCCUAUCGUUGUGAAGUAGAAUUCAUCAAGCGUUGGAUUGUUCACCCACUAACAGGGAACGUGAGCUGGGGCUAGACUGUUGUGACACAGGUUAGUUUCACCCUACUGAUGGUGUGUUGUUGCAAUAGGAAUCUUGCUCAGUACCAGAGGAACCGCAUUCAGACCCCUGCUGCAUGUGCUUGGCUGAGGAGCCACUGGUGUGAGGCUCCCAUCUGCGGGCUUAUGACUGAAUGCCCC